rnacentral:rRNA from 2 species
UAAUACCCCGGGGGGAUGACGGUACCGGAAGAAUAAGCACCGGCUAACUACGUGCCAGCAGCCGCGGUAAUACGUAGGGUGCAAGCGUUAAUCGGAAUUACUGGGCGUAAAGCGUGCGCAGGCGGUCUGCUAAGACAGAUGUGAAAUCCCCGGGCUUAACCUGGGAACUGCAUUUGUGACUGGCAGGCUAGAGUAUGGCAGAGGGGGGUAGAAUUCCACGUGUAGCAGUGAAAUGCGUAGAGAUGUGGAGGAAUACCGAUGGCGAAGGCAGCCCCCUGGGCCAAUACUGACGCUCAUGCACGAAAGCGUGGGGAGCAAACAGGAUUAGAUACCCUGGUAGUCCACGCCCUAAACGAUGUCAACUAGUUGUUGGGUCUUCAUUGACUUAGUAACGUAGCUAACGCGUGAAGUUGACCGCCUGGGGAGUACGGUCGCAAGAUUACAACUCAG